rnacentral:misc_RNA from 1 species
UCCGAGUUGUCCCCGGCAGUCCUCUUAGAGUCCCCGGCAUUACCCGCUGGCAACUAAGAGCAGGGGUUGCGCUCGUUGCGGCACUUAAGCCAACACCUCACGGCACGAGCUGACGACAGCCAUGCAGCACCUGUGCUAGCCCCUUACGGACACGGGCUUUCACCCGCUUUAACUAGCAUGUCAAGCCUAGGUAAGGUGGGGAUGACGUCAAGGUACGGAC